AACGAACGCUGGCGGCAGGCCUAACACAUGCAAGUCGAGCGAGGACUUCGGUUCUAGCGGCGGACGGGUGAGUAACGCGUGGGAAUGUGCCCUUCUCUACGGAAUAGCCCUGGGAAACUGGGAGUAAUACCGUAUACGCCCUAUUGGGGAAAGAUUUAUCGGAGAAGGAUCAGCCCGCGUUGGAUUAGGUAGUUGGUGGGGUAAUGGCCUACCAAGCCGACGAUCCAUAGCUGGUUUGAGAGGAUGAUCAGCCACACUGGGACUGAGACACGGCCCAGACUCCUACGGGAGGCAGCAGUGGGGAAUCUUAGACAAUGGGGGCAACCCUGAUCGAGCCAUGCCGCGUGAGUGAUGAAGGCCUUAGGGUUGUAAAGCUCUUUCAGCUGGGAAGAUAAUGACGGUACCAGCAGAAGAAGCCCCGGCUAACUACGUG
rnacentral:rRNA from 1 species